rnacentral:rRNA from 1 species
UAAAGUGGCGUACGGGUGAGUAACACGUGGAUUAUCUACCUCUUAGUGGGGAAUAAACUUUGGGAAACCGAAGCUAAUACCGCAUAAGCCUGGAAAGGGAAAAGCAGCAAUGCGCUGAGAGAGGAGUCCGCGGCCGAUUAGCUAGUUGGCAGGGUAAAAGCCUACCAAGGCUAUGAUCGGUAGCCGGCCUGAGAGGGCACACGGCCACACUGGCACUGAAACACGGGCCAG